rnacentral:rRNA from 1 species
AACGAACGCUGGCGGCAUGCCUAACACAUGCAAGUCGAACGAUUGCCUUCGGGUGAUAUUGGCUCACGGGUGCGUAACGCGUGGGGAUCUGCCCUUAGGUUCGGAAUAACAGCUGGAAACGGCUGCUAAUACCGGAUGAUAUCACGAGAUCAAAGAUUCAUCGCCUUGGGAUGAGCCCGGGUUGGAUUAGGUAGUUGGUGGGGUAAAGGCCUACCAAGCCGACGAUCCAUAGCUGGUCUGAGAGGAUGAUCAGCCACACUGGGACUGAGACACGGCCCAGAAUCGUACGGGAGGGAGCAGUGGGGAAUACUGGAGGAUGGGGGCAAGUCUGAUCCAGCAAUGCCGGGUGAGUGAUGAAGGGGGUAGGGUUGUAAAGCUCUUUUAGCCGGGAAGAUAAUGACUGUACCGGGAGAAUAAGCACCGGCUAACUCCGUG